GAUGAACGCUGCCAGAAUGCUUAACACAUGCAAGUCAACUUGAACUUCGGUUUGGGUGGCGGACGGGUGAGUAACGCGUAAAGAACUUGCCUCACAGAUAGGGACAACAUUUGGAAACGAAUGCUAAUACCUGAUAUUAUGAUUAUAUGGCAUCGUAUAAUUAUGAAAGCUAUAUGCGCUGUGAGAGAGCUUUGCGUCCCAUUAGCUAGUUGGAGAGGUAACGGCUCACCAAGGCGAUGAUGGGUAGCCGGCCUGAGAGGGUGAUCGGCCACAAGGGGACUGCGACACGGCCCUUACUCCUACGGGAGGCAGCAGUGGGGAAUAUUGGACAAUGGACCAAGAGUCUGAUCAAGCAAUUCUGUGUGCACGAUGAAGUUUUUCGGAAUGUAAAGUGCUUUCAGUUGGGAAGAAAAAAAUGACGGUACCAACAGAAGAAGUGACGGCUAAAUACGUG
rnacentral:rRNA from 1 species